GAUGAACGCUGGCGGCGUGCCUAAUACAUGCAAGUCGAGCGAAUGGAUUAAGAGCUUGCUCUUAUGAAGUUAGCGGCGGACGGGUGAGUAACACGUGGGUAACCUGCCCAUAAGACUGGGAUAACUCCGGGAAACCGGGGCUAAUACCGGAUAACAUUUUGAACCGCAUGGUUCGAAAUUGAAAGGCGGCUUCGGCUGUCCCUUAUGGAUGGACCCGUCUCGCAUUAGCUAGUUGGUGAGGUAACGGCUCCCCAAGGCAACGAUGCGUAGCCGACCUGAGAGGGUGAUCGGCCACACUGGGACUGAGACACGGCCCAGACUCCUACGGGAGGCAGCAGUGGGGAAUAUUGCACAAUGGACGAAAGUCUGACGGAGCAACGCCGCGUGAGUGAUGAAGGCUUUCGGGUCGUAAAACUCUGUUGUUAGGGAAGAACAAGUGCUAGUUGAAUAAGCUGGCACCUUGACGGUACCUAACCAGAAAGCCACGGCUAAUUACGUGCCAGCAGCCGCGGUAA
rnacentral:rRNA from 1 species